UACGGAGGGUGCGAGCGUUGUCCGGAAUCACUGGGCGUAAAGGGCGCGUAGGCGGCGCGGGAAGUCAUCGGUGAAAGCUCAGGGCUCAACUCUGAGUCGGCCGGUGAUACUCUCGUGCUUGAGCACUGUAGAGGCAGGUGGAAUUCCGGGUGUAGCGGUGGAAUGCGUAGAGAUCCGGAAGAACACCGGUUGCGAAGGCGGCCUGCUGGGCAGUAGCUGACGCUGAUGCGCGACAGCGUGGGGAGCAAACAGG
rnacentral:rRNA from 1 species